CUUACACAUGCAGUCGAGCGGGGAAGGUAGCUUGCUACCUGACCUACGGCGGACGGGUGAGUAAUGCUUAGGAAUCUGCCUAUUAGUGGGGGACAACAUUCCGAAAGGAAUGCUAAUACCGCAUACGCCCUACGGGGGAAAGCAGGGGAUCUUCGGACCUUGCGCUAAUAGAUGAGCCUAAGUCAGAUUAGCUAGUUGGUGGGGUAAAGGCCUACCAAGGCGACGAUCUGUAGCGGGUCUGAGAGGAUGAUCCGCCACACUGGGACUGAGACACGGCCCAGACUCCUACGGGAGGCAGCAGUGGGGAAUAUUGGACAAUGGGCGAAAGCCUGAUCCAGCCAUGCCGCGUGUGUGAAGAAGGCCUUUUGGUUGUAAAGCACUUUAAGCGAGGAGGAGGCUACUUAGAUUAAUACUCUAGGAUAGUGGACGUUACUCGCAGAAUAAGCACCGGCUAACUCUGUGCCAGCAGCCGCGGUAAUACAGAGGGUGCGAGCGUUAAUCGGAUUUACUGGGCGUAAAGCGUGCGUAGGCGGCUUUUUAAGUCGGAUGUGAAAUCCCUGAGCUUAACUUAGGAAUUGCAUUCGAUACUGGGAAGCUAGAGUAUGGGAGAGGAUGGGUAGAAUUCCAGGUGUAGCGGUGAA
rnacentral:rRNA from 1 species